AACGCUAGCUACAGGCUUAACACAUGCAAGUCGAGGGGUAGCAGGGUAGCAAUACCGCUGACGACCGGCGCACGGGUGAGUAACACGUAUCCAACCUUCCCAUAACUCGGAGAUAGCCUUUCGAAAGAAAGAUUAAUACCCGAUAGUACUUUUUCAAGGCAUCUUGAGAAAGUUAAAGAUUUAUUGGUUAUGGAUGGGGAUGCGUUCCAUUAGAUAGUUGGUGAGGUAACGGCUCACCAAGUCUUCGAUGGAUAGGGGUUCUGAGAGGAAGGUCCCCCACAUUGGUACUGAGACACGGACCAAACUCCUACGGGAGGCAGCAGUGAGGAAUAUUGGUCAAUGGGCGAGAGCCUGAACCAGCCAAGUAGCGUGAAGGAUGAAGGUCCUAUGGAUUGUAAACUUCUUUUAUAGUAGAAUAAAGUGAUCCACGUGUGGAUUUUUGUAUGUAUACUAUGAAUAAGGAUCGGCUAACUCCGUGCCAGCAGCCGCGGUAAUACGGAGGAUCCGAGCGCUAUCCGGAUUUAUUGGGUUUAAAGGGUGCGUAGGCGGAAUAAUAAGUCAGUUGUGAAAGUUUGCGGCUCAACCGUAAAAUUGCAGUUGAUACUGUUAUUCUUGAGUGUACAUAAGGUAGGCGGAAUUCGUGGUGUAGCGGUGAAAUGCUUAGAUAUCACGAAGAACUCCGAUUG
rnacentral:rRNA from 1 species